rnacentral:tRNA from 1 species
GUGCCGGAGUGGUCGAACGGGCUCGACUCGAAAUCGAGUCAUGCCGCAGGCAUCCGGGGGUUCGACUAAGCUGGCGCAGCCA